CAAUAACAUGUAGCAUGGGAUAAUGGAAUAGGACCCUGUCCUCCUAUUUUCUGUUGGUUUUGGCAGCGCGAGGACUAGGGUAAUGAUUAAUAGGGAUAGUUGGGGGCAUUAAUAUUUUAUUGUCAGAGGUGAAAUUCUUGGAUUUAUGAAAGAUUAACUUCUGCGAAAGCAUCUGCCAAGGAUGUUUUCAUUAAUCAAGAACGAAAGUUAGGGGAUCGAAGACGAUCAGAUACCGUCGUAGUCUUAACCAUAAACGAUGCCGACCAGCGAUUAGGAGACGUUGAAUACAAAACACCACCAUCGGCGCGGUCGUCCUUGGCGUCUCGCGUUCGCGCGCGGCGCGAGGGCGGCUUACCCCGGUGGCACCGGUGAAUGACUCCCCUAGCAGCUUGUGA
rnacentral:rRNA from 1 species